GCAAAGGGCUUUGGUGG
rnacentral:misc_RNA from 1 species